rnacentral:rRNA from 1 species
UAGGGANUCUUCCACAAUGGGCGCAAGCNUGAUGGAGCAACACCGCGUGAGUGAAGAAGGGUUUCGGCUCGUAAAGCUCUGUUGUUGAAGAAGAACGUGCGUGAGAGUAACUGUUCACGCAGUGACGGUAUUCAACCAGAAAGUCACGGCUAACUACGUGCCAGCAGCCGCGGUAAUACGUAGGUCCCGAGCGCUAUCCGGAUUUAUUGGGCGUAAAGCGAGCGCAGGCGGUUAGAUAAGUCUGAAGUUAAAGGCUGUGGCUUAACCAUAGUACGCUUUGGAAACUGUUUAACUUGAGUGCAGAAGGGGAGAGUGGAAUUCCAUGUGUAGCGGUGAAAUGCGUAGAUAUAUGGAGGAACACCGGUGGCGAAAGCGGCUCUCUGGUCUGUAACUGACGCUGAGGCUCGAAAGCGUGGGGAGCAAACAGGAUUAGAUACCCUGGUAGUCCACGCCGUAAACGAUGAGUGCUAGGUGUUGGGUCCUUUCCGGGACUCAGUGCCGCAGCUAACGCAUUAAGCACUCCGCCUGGGGAGUACGACCGCAAGGUUG